GGAGAGCUAGUCUAAUUGGUAAGGCAGCGGUCUUGAAAACCGCCGUGAGUGAUCACUUCGGGGUUCGAGUCCCCGGCUCUCCG
rnacentral:tRNA from 1 species